rnacentral:SRP_RNA from 1 species
GCCGGGCGUGGCAGCGCACGCCUGUAGUCCCAGCUACCUGGGAGGCUGAGGCAGGAGAAUUGCUUGAACCCGGGAGGCGGAGGCUGCAGUGAGCCAAGAUCAUGCCACUGCACUCCAGCCUGGGUGACAGAGCGAGACUCCGUCUCAA